rnacentral:rRNA from 1 species
UAAAAAAAGGUAAGCUACUAAGAGCGAAUGGUGGAUGCCUUGACUGGUAAAGGCGAUGAAGGACGUACUAGACUGCGAUAAGCUACGGGGAGCUGUCAAGAAGCUUUGAUCCGUAGAUUUCCGAAUGGGGCAACCCAAUGUAUAGAGAUAUACAUUACCUAUAUAGGAGCGAACGAGGGGAAUUGAAACAUCUUAGUACCCUCAGGAAAAGAAAUCAAUAGAGAUUGCGUCAGUAGCGGCGAGCGAAAGCGCAAGAGGGCAAACCCAGUGCUUGCACUGGGGGUUGUAGGACUGCAAUGUGCAAGAGCUGAGUUUAGCAGAACAUUCUGGAAAGUAUAGCCAUAGAGGGUGAUAGUCCCGUAUGCGAAAAACAAAGCUUAGCUAGCAGUAUCCUGAGUAGGGCGGGACACGAGGAAUCCUGUCUGAAUCCGGGUCGACCACGAUCCAACCCUAAAUACUAAUACCAGAUCGAUAGUGCACAAGUACCGUGAGGGAAAGGUGAAAAGAACUGAGGUGAUCAGAGUGAAAUAGAACCUGAAACCAUUUGCUUACAAUCAUUCAGAGCACUAUGUAGCAAUACAGUGUGAUGGACUGCCUUUUGCAUAAUGAGCCUGCGAGUUGUGGUGUCUGGCAAGGUUAAGCAAACGCGAAGCCGUAGCGAAAGCGAGUCUGAAUAGGGCGCUUAGUCAGAUGCUGCAGACCCGAAACGAAGUGAUCUAUCCAUGAGCAAGUUGAAGCUAGUGUAAGAACUAGUGGAGGACUGAACCCAUAGGCGUUGAAAAGCCCCGGGAUGACUUGUGGAUAGGGGUGAAAGGCCAAUCAAACUUCGUGAUAGCUGGUUCUCUCCGAAAUAUAUUUAGGUAUAGCGUUGUGUCGUAAUAUAAGGGGGUAGAGCACUGAAUGGGCUAGGGCAUACACCAAUGUACCAAACCCUAUCAAACUCCGAAUACCUUAUAUGUAAUCACAGCAGUCAGGCGGCGAGUGAUAAAAUCCGUCGUCAAGAGGGAAACAACCCAGACUACCAGCUAAGGUCCCUAAAUCUUACUUAAGUGGAAAACGAUGUGAAGUUACUUAAACAACCAGGAGGUUGGCUUAGAAGCAGCCAUCCUUUAAAGAAAGCGUAAUAGCUCACUGGUCUAGUGAUUUUGCGCGGAAAAUAUAACGGGGCUAAAGUAAGUACCGAAGCUGUAGACUUGCACACAACUUAGAUUAUUUAAGUUUAGAAUAAGUAGUUUAAGUUGUGUGCAAGUGGUAGGAGAGCGUUCUAUUUGCGUCGAAGGUAUACCGGUAAGGAGUGCUGGAGCGAAUAGAAGUGAGCAUGCAGGCAUGAGUAGCGAUAAUUAAUGUGAGAAUCAUUAACGCCGUAAACCCAAGGUUUCCUACGCGAUGCUCGUCAUCGUAGGGUUAGUCGGGUCCUAAGUCGAGUCCGAAAGGGGUAGACGAUGGCAAAUUGGUUAAUAUUCCAAUACCAACAUUAGUGUGCGAUGGAAGGACGCUUAGGGCUAAGGGGGCUAGCGGAUGGAAGUGCUAGUCUAAGGUCGUAGGAGGUUAUACAGGCAAAUCCGUAUAACAAUACUCCGAGAACUGAAAGGCUUUUUGAAGUCUUCGGAUGGAUAGAAGAACCCCUGAUGCCGUCGAGCCAAGAAAAGUUUCUAAGUUUAGCUAAUGUUGCCCGUACCGUAAACCGACACAGGUGGGUGGGAUGAGUAUUCUAAGGCGCGUGGAAGAACUCUCUUUAAGGAACUCUGCAAAAUAGCACCGUAUCUUCGGUAUAAGGUGUGGUUAGCUUCGUACUAGGAUUUACUCCGAAAGCGAAGAAACUUACAACAAAGAGUCCCUCCCGACUGUUUACCAAA